AUGCAAGUCGAGCGGUAACAGACAUUUUGAUUUUGCUUGCAAAAUCUCGUGCUGACGAGCGGCGAACGGGUGAGUAACGCGUAGGAAUCUACCUAGUAGAAGGGGAUAGCCCGAGGAAACUCGGAUUAAUACCGUAUACGUCCUUAGGGAGAAAGAGGGCUUAGCUUUGAUGCUCUCGCUAUUAGAUGAGCCUGCGUAAGAUUAGCUUGUUGGUGAGGUAAAGGCUCACCAAGGCGACGAUCUUUAGCUGGUCUGAGAGGACGAUCAGCCACAUUGGGACUGAGACACGGCCCAGACUCCUACGGGAGGCAGCAGUGGGGAAUAUUGGACAAUGGGCGCAAGCCUGAUCCAGCCAUACCGCGUGUGUGAAGAAGGCCUUCGGGUUGUAAAGCACUUUAAGUAAGGAAGAAAAGAGUAUUGUUAAUACCAAUACUCCGUGACAUUACUUACAGAAUAAGGACCGGCUAAUUCCGUGCCAGCAGCCGCGGUAAUACGGAAGGUCCAAGCGUUAAUCGGAAUUACUGGGCGUAAAGCGCGCGUAGGUGGUUUGUUAAGUUGGGUGUGAAAGCCCCGGGCUCAACCUGGGAACUGCAUCCAAAACUGAUUCACUAGAGUACGAAAGAGGAAAGUAGAAUUCACAGUG
rnacentral:rRNA from 1 species